rnacentral:rRNA from 1 species
UGAACUUAAGCAUAUCAAUAAGCGGAGGAAAAGAAACUAACAAGGAUUCCCCUAGUAACUGCGAGUGAAGCGGGAAAAGCUCAAAUUUAAAAUCUGGCGGUCUUUGACUGUCCGAGUUGUAAUCUAGAGAAGUGUUAUCCGCGCUGGACCGUGUACAAGUCUCCUGGAAUGGAGCGUCAUAGAGGGUGAGAAUCCCGUCUUUGACACGGACUGCCAGGGCUUUGUGAUGCGCUCUCAAAGAGUCGAGUUGUUUGGGAAUGCAGCUCAAAAUGGGUGGUAAAUUCCAUCUAAAGCUAAAUAUUGGCGAGAGACCGAUAGCGAACAAGUACCGUGAGGGAAAGAUGAAAAGAACUUUGGAAAGAGAGUUAAACAGUACGUGAAAUUGCUGAAAGGGAAACGCUUGAAGUCAGUCGCGUUGUCUGGGAAUCAACCUUGCUUUUGCUGGGCGUACUUUCCAGAURACGGGCCAGCAUCAAUUUUGACCGUUGGAUAAAGGCUGGAGAAAUGUGGCAUCUUCGGAUGUGUUAUAGUCUUCAGUCGCAUACAACGGUUGGGAUUGAGGAACUCAGCACGCCGCAAGGCCGGGUACUUGUACCACGUUCGUGCUUA